GGACCGUUAGCUCAGUUGGUAGAGCAACUGACUCUUAAUCAGUGGGUCUAGGGUUCGAAUCCCUAACGGUCCACCA
rnacentral:tRNA from 1 species